UACAGAGGUGGCAAGCGUUGUUCGGAAUUACUGGGCGUAAAGGGCGCGUAGGCGGCCUUCUAAGUCAGACGUGAAAUCCCCCGGCUUAACCUGGGAACUGCGUCUGAUACUGGGAGGCUAGAGUGCGGGAGAGGGAUGCGGAAUUCCAGGUGUAGCGGUGAAAUGCGUAGAUAUCUGGAGGAACACCGAUGGCGAAGGCAGCCCCCUGGGCCGAUACUGACGCUCAGGCACGAAAGCGUGGGGAGCAAACAGG
rnacentral:rRNA from 1 species